GGAGUUAGCCGGUGCUUCUUCUGUGAGUGAUGUCCUUCCUGCCGGCUAUUAACCCGCAGGCCUUCUUCCUCACUGAAAGUGCUUUACAACCCGAAGGCCUUCUUCACACACGCGGCAUGGCUGGAUCAGGGUUGCCCCCAUUGUCCAAUAUUCCCCACUGCUGCCUCCCGUAGGAGUCUGGGCCGUGUCUCAGUCCCAGUGUGGCUGAUCAUCCUCUCAGACCAGCUACGGAUCGUCGCCUUGGUGAGCCGUUACCUCACCAACCAGCUAAUCCGACAUAGGCUCAUCCGAUAGCGCGAGGCCCGAAGGUCCCCCGCUUUCCCCCGUAGGGCGUAUGCGGUAUUAGCCUGGGUUUCCCCAGGUUAUCCCCCACUACCGGGCAGAUUCCUAUGCAUUACUCACCCGUCCGCCGCUUCGCCACCAGGGAGCAAGCUCCCCGUGCUGCCGCUCGACUUGCAUGUGUUAGGCCUGCCGCCAGCGUUCAAUCUGAGCCAUGAUCAAACUCUGA
rnacentral:rRNA from 1 species